GAGAAAGAUGUAUUUUUCUAGGCAUUCCGCCCAGAAUGAGACAAUUCAUUUUGCAUGUCACUGUGAAUGACACACAACCUUUAAAAAAGGUUUAAAAAGCCCUCUCUGAUGCACUCCCCUACUCUGUAGAAGAGGCUCUCUUCAUCGCUGCCUGUGAAUGCCAACAAACAGCCAUCCUACCUGCCAGGAGGGCCAUUGUUUUGACAGGAAAUGAGAAACGACUCCCUCUGUGGUGCUUUCAGUAACACUAGGAAUAUAAUUUGAAACACCUCGACAUGCAAAUUUCCAACACUUACGUUCAACAAAUACUUUGAUUUCACAGUAGCUUAUGUGCUCAAACCCUUAUGAAAUUAAAUAUUAAAAAUGUUGUUUCAUAAUAUUAUUUCAAAUAUGUUUUUAAUCCACACUUGAUUUAUUUCUGCAAAAGCCUUAAUUUAAUCAAAUUGAUAGGACAUCUGGCCCUGUUCUUUCAUAGGAAAGCGUAUGAAUUCUAUAGUGGCUUUGUCAUAAGCUAAAUCAUCAGAAGAAAUUUCAUUAAAAUGUGUAGUUAAUAAAGUCCUUAUUCACUCUAUUAGGUAUUUAGUC
rnacentral:lncRNA from 1 species